rnacentral:rRNA from 1 species
UACGUAGGGUGCAAGCGUUGUCCGGAAUUAUUGGGCGUAAAGAGCUCGUAGGCGGUUUGUCGCGUCUGCUGUGAAAACUCGGGGCUUAACUCCGGGCCUGCAGCGGGUACGGGCAGACUAGAGUGCGGUAGGGGAGACUGGAAUUCCUGGUGUAGCGGUGAAAUGCGCAGAUAUCAGGAGGAACACCGGUGGCGAAGGCGGCACUCUGGGCCGGUACUGACGCUGAGGAGCGAAAGCGUGGGGAGCGAACAGG